AGGGAGAAUGUGUGUCUGUGAGUGUGUGUUGAGUGUGAGUGUGUCUCUGUGUGUGUAGGGGUCGAGGUGGGGGGGGUCCGUGUUUGCGAUCUGAACCUUUGGUACCUACAAGGAGGGUGUCUCACCGAACGGUAGCUAAAACCUCACCAGAACCGCGCGGAAGUGAGAAGUCGCGGCCAAAGGCGCCCGCAGAAGCCUCCUCUCUGGGCCGGACCCCAGCCCGAGCGGCCGAAAGGAGCCCCCCGCCCGGAUCACAGAAGUUUACAAGGAAAGGGGAAAUGUCUGAAAUGGAGAUUGCACAAUCCUGUCUUGAAGCAGAAGACUCAGCUAGAGCACAUCUGGAAACACCUGGCACUCCUCAAUAGAAUUCAAAUGCUAUUUUAAAAGAGUCCAUUUCUAAGAAGAUGUGGUUCGAACAUACAGAGCUACAUAAUAUGAGUAAAAUAGGACCUAACAGUAGUGUUCUCCAGCAUUGCUCUGCCUUUCCUUUUCUGGAUGUAACAACAUUACUAAGAAAGGAAGAAAAAGCAAAAAUCUGCUCUCGGGGAGAUUCCAGAAUGUUGGAAAGCCCCAAAUGGAAGUCUCUGCUUUGGUUACAGGACAUAAGGUUUAAUAAAUAAAAAGAUGCUCAUCUGGGAUGCUGCACCAAUUAUCAUGUACUAAAUAAGGUUACCUACUUCACUCUCCAGGUAGAAAUGUCUAUCAUAAGCAUGUGCCACAGAAGGUCUCUCAAGUAUCAUUAUUGGCUGUGUUGAAUUUUGUUUUUAGUUCUCUUUUAUAAGGUCUGUAGUCUUACUUUCAGUGAGGAAGUGUUUUCUCAGGUUCUCAAGAAAGUAACAAAAUGCCAGCAUUGUCAAGGUCACCAUUGCCACUGAAUUAUCUUACUGUCUGAUUAUUCCAUCUUCCUCUGCAUCAUAUUAGCCUGAUGACUACAUUCUAAUUAUUUAAAGCGUUAUGUAAAUCAAAGCAGUAAAUGUAAUUUCUAGUCUUACUAGAUAUCAUGUACAUUAGGUCGAAUAACUCUAGAAAUGUCGUCAUAAUCAUGUCAUGCCUAAUGAUGACCUACUCAGCCCCUGCCAACAUCAUUCAAUUACUCAUUUCAGUAUUGAUUUUUCUCAUGCCUCUCUUCGUGGCAUUUAAACAGCCCUCACAUCUCCCCUUUUACUGAGGUGUAAUGUUGUAUAAUGACAGAGAUGCUUUGCUUCCCAGAUUCAUAAUGUUACACUCUGUUUCAAAUCCUUUUGGAGACAAAUUGGGGAAUCAAUAUAUAAAUAAUGACACACUUAUUUUUAAUUAAAAUCACUGCUUUCACAGAAAUGGUAUAUUAAAAUUAUUUUUGCUAAAAAAAUUUUAAAUACCUAUGUACGAUAAAAAGACUGCCAAUCCUUGGGAUCAAGAAUAUAAUUUGCCCCAAAUAACUUUUCUGUAAAAGUAGAAUUCUUAAUGGAAAAUAGAUUAAUACAUAUAAUUUCA
rnacentral:lncRNA from 1 species